rnacentral:rRNA from 1 species
CAUCUAAGCACGAAACUUGCCCCGAGAUGAGUUCUCCCUGACCCUUUAAGGGUCCUGAAGGAACGUUGAAGACGACGACGUUGAUAGGCCGGGUGUGUAAGCGCAGCGAUGCGUUGAGCUAACCGGUACUAAUGAACCGUGAGGCUUAACCUUAC